rnacentral:rRNA from 1 species
CGCGUAGGCGGCCGUUUAAGUCUGGAGUGAAAGUCCUGCUUUCAAGGUGGGAAUUGCUUUGGAUACUGGACGGCUUGAGUGCAGGAGAGGUAAGUGGAAUUCCCAGUGUAGCGGUGAAAUGCGUAGAGAUUGGGAGGAACACCAGUGGCGAAGGCGACUUACUGGACUGUAACUGACGCUGAGGCGCGAAAGUGUGGGGAGCAAACA